rnacentral:rRNA from 1 species
CCUACGGGAGGCAGCAGUGAGGAAUAUUGGACAAUGGGCGCAAGCCUGAUCCAGCCAUGCCGCGUGCAGGAAGACGGUCCUAUGGAUUGUAAACUGCUUUUAUACAGGAAGAAACACCUCUACGUGUAGAGACUUGACGGUACUGUAUGAAUAAGCAUCGGCUAACUCCGUGCCAGCAGCCGCGGUAAUACGGAGGAUGCAAGCGUUAUCCGGAAUCAUUGGGUUUAAAGGGUCCGUAGGCGGUUUAAUAAGUCAGUGGUGAAAGCCCAUCGCUCAACGAUGGAACGGCCAUUGAUACUGUUAAACUUGAAUUAUUAGGAAGUAACUAGAAUAUGUAGUGUAGCGGUGAAAUGCUUAGAGAUUACAUGGAAUACCAAUUGCGAAGGCAGGUUACUACUAAUAUAUUGACGCUGAUGGACGAAAGCGUGGGGAGCGAACAGGAUUAGAUACCCUGGUAGUCCACGCCGUAAACGAUGGAUACUAGCUGUUCGGAGCAAUCUGNGUGNGUAGAGAAGAGAGUAAGUAUACCACCGUCGGGAGGUACGGUUCGUCGAAGAAGUAGAACGUACGAAAGAAAGUUAGUACGGACGUAGAGACGUUGACGACGGACGACGACGAGGGAGGAGG